rnacentral:rRNA from 1 species
UUUUAUACACCAAGAAAAAUUCCGACGUGUCGGGACUCGACGGUAGUGUAUGAAUAAGCAUCGGCUAACUCCGUGCCAGCAGCCGCGGUAAUACGGAGGAUGCAAGCGUUAUCCGGAUUCAUUGGGUUUAAAGGGUGCGUAGGCGGCUUUUUAAGUCAGUGGUGAAAUCUUGCCGCUUAACGGUAAAAUUGCCAUUGAUACUGAAAAGCUUGAGUACAUUUGAGGUAAGCGGAAUGUGUAGUGUAGCGGUGAAAUGCUUAGAUAUUACACAGAACACCAAUUGCGAAGGCAGCUUACUAAACUGUUACUGACGCUGGUGCACGAAAGCGUGGGGAGCGAACAGGAUUAGAUACCCUGGUAGUCCACGCCGUAAACGAUGCUCACUCGCUGUUUGCGAUACACAGCAAGCGGCCAAGCGAAAGCAUUAAGUGAGCCACCUGGGGAGUACGAUCGCAAGGUUGAAACUCAAAGGAAUUGACGGGGGCCCGCACAAGCGGAGGAACAUGUGGUUUAAUUCGAUGAUACGCGAGGAACCUUACCUGGGCUUAAAUGUAGAGCGACAGAUUGUGAAAGCAGUCCUUCUUCGGACGAUCUACAAGGUGCUGCAUGGUUGUCGUCAGCUCGUGCCGUGAGGUGUCGGGUUAAGUCCCAUAACGAGCGCAACCCUUAUCGUUAGUUGCCAGCGGGUCAAGCCGGGGACUCUAGCGAGACUGCCACCGUAAGGUGUGAGGAANGUGGGGAUGACGUCAAAUCAGCACGGCCCUUAUGUC